rnacentral:rRNA from 1 species
UGACGAUAGCCUAGGAGAUACACCUGUACCCAUGCCGAACACAGCAGUUAAGCCCUAGAACGCCUGAAGUAGUUGGGGGUUGCCCCCUGUUAGAUACGGUAGUCGCUUAGC